rnacentral:rRNA from 1 species
GACGAACGCUGGCGGCAAGCCUAACACAUGCAAGUCGAACGAGUGGCGGACGGGUGAGUAAUGUCUGGGAAACUGCCUGAUGGAGGGGGAUAACUACUGGCAACGGUAGCUAAUACCGCAUACCAUCAGAUGUGCCCAGAUGGGAUUAGCUAGUAGGUGGGGUAACGGCUCACCUAGGCGACGAUCCCUAGCUGGUCUGAGAGGAUGACCAGCCACACUGGAACUGAGACACGGUCCAGACGCCGACGGGAGGCAGCAGGGGGGAAUAUUGCACAAUGGGCGCAAGCCGGAUGCAGCAAGGCCGCGUGUAUGAAGAAGGCCUUCGGUUGGUAAAGUACUUUCAGCGGGGAGGCGUUACCCGCAGAAGAAGAACCGGCUAACUCCGUGCCAGCAGCCGCGGUAAUUC